rnacentral:rRNA from 1 species
GACGAACGCUGGCGGCGUGCUUAACACAUGCAAGUCGAGCGGUAAGGCCCUUUCGGGGGUACGACGAGCGGCGAACGGGUGAGUAACACGUGGGUGACCUGCCCUCAGCUCUGGGAUAAGCCUGGGAAACCGGGUCUAAUACUGGAUAUGACUCCAUGACGCAUGUUGGUGGGGUGGAAAGCCUUGUGCGGCUGAGGAUGGGCCCGCGGCCUAUCAGCUUGUUGGGUGGGGUGAGGCCUACCAAGGCGACGACGGGUAGCCGGCCUGAGAGGGCGACCGGCCACACUGGGACUGAGACACGGCCCACGACUCCUACGGGAGGCAGCAGUGGGGAAGUCUUGCGCAAUGGGCGAAAGCCUGACGCAGCGACGCCGCGUGAGGGAUGAC